AUUGAACGCUGGCGGCAGGCCUAACACAUGCAAGUCGAACGGUAACAGGAAGCAGCUUGCUGCUUCGCUGACGAGUGGCGGACGGGUGAGUAAUGUCUGGGAAGCUGCCUGAUGGAGGGGGAUAACUACUGGAAACGGUAGCUAAUACCGCAUAAUGUCGCAAGACCAAAGAGGGGGACCUUCGGGCCUCUUGCCAUCGGAUGUGCCCAGAUGGGAUUAGCUUGUUGGUGGGGUAACGGCUCACCAAGGCGACGAUCCCUAGCUGGUCUGAGAGGAUGACCAGCCACACUGGAACUGAGACACGGUCCAGACUCCUACGGGAGGCAGCAGUGGGGAAUAUUGCACAAUGGGCGCAAGCCUGAUGCAGCCAUGCAGCGUGUAUGAAGAAGGCCUUCGGGUUGUAAAGUACUUUCAGCGGGGAGGAAGGGAGUAAAGUUAAUACCUUUGCUCAUUGACGUUACCCGCAGAAGAAGCACCGGCUAACUCCGUG
rnacentral:rRNA from 1 species